GACGAACGCUGGCGGCGUGCCUAAUACAUGCAAGUAGAACGCUGAAGGAGGAGCUUGCUUCUCCGGAUGAGUUGCGAACGGGUGAGUAACGCGUAGGUAACCUGCCUGGUAGCGGGGGAUAACUAUUGGAAACGAUAGCUAAUACCGCAUAAGAGUAGAUGUCGCAUGACAUUUGCUUAAAAGGUGCAACUGCACCACUACCAGAUGGACCUGCGUUGUAUUAGCUAGUUGGUGAGGUAACGGCUCACCAAGGCAACGAUACAUAGCCGACCUGAGAGGGUGAGCGGCCACACUGGGACUGAGACACGGCCCAGACUCCUACGGGAGGCAGCAGUAGGGAAUCUUCGGCAAUGGACGGAAGUCUGACCGAGAAACGCCGCGUGAGUGAAGAAGGGUUUCGGAUCGUAAAGCUCUGUUGUAAGAGAAGAACGAGUGUGAGAGUGGAAAGUUCACACUGUGACGGUAUCUUACCAGAAAGGGACGGCUAACUACGUG
rnacentral:rRNA from 1 species